GAUGAACGCUAGCGGCAGGCUUAACACAUGCAAGUCGAGGGGCAGCACUGGUAGCAAUACCUGGUGGCGACCGGCAAACGGGUGCGGAACACGUACAGAACCUACCUUGAUCUGGGGCAUAGCCCGAAGAAAUUCGGAUUAACUCCCAUAAUAUAAUUGGAUGGCAUCAUUUGGUUAUUAAAAUUUAUUGGAUCGAGAUGGCUGUGCGUCCCAUUAGCUAGUUGGAGGUAACGGCCUACCAAGGCGACGAUGGGUAGCUGGUGUGAGAGCACGACCAGCCACACGGGCACUGAGACACGGGCCCGACUCCUACGGGAGCAGCAGUGAGGAAUAUUGGUCAAUGGACGCAAGUCUGAACCAGCCAUGCCGCGUGAA
rnacentral:rRNA from 1 species